GCCUUUGUAGCUCAGUGGAUAAAGCAUGGUGGCGUUUAUGCCAAGUCGUGAGUUCGAUUCUCACCCGAGGCC
rnacentral:tRNA from 1 species